GCGGCAGUUGGUAGUAUUUUGUUUCUAAAUCUCUGAUUACAGGACCAGCUGGUCCUGAGUUGGAUAUUUUAGCAGGGUUCACCAGGUGAUUGGAUUUUAUUAAACUUGCUUGGGUGACAGAGAAAGCAAUUGGCAGCGAUGCCGUGUCGCUGUAGUGUGAACGUUACGUUACUGAAGUGAGCAGCUGUGGAAGCUGUUAGAGAAAAAUAAAGAUUAGUUAUACUCAAAUAUGUGAUUAAGCUUUUGUUCUAGGAAUGAUUAAAUAUAUCAUGAAUUAUUAAUAUUGAACUUUAUAUAUUAUUGAAAUGUGAUUGAAUUCUAUGUAUGAUCAUACUGUGUGAUUGAACUCUUGUGAUUAAACUUUUGAUCUGUAUCUUGAACUCUAUGUUUGUCUGACAUUUACUGAAAGGGAAGUUAGAAAAAACCCUGACAGCGGAGGAGCAGACAUUAGCUAGUUUGACAUAAAAAUAUGUAAAUCCAUGCUUACAUUGCAAAAUCAACUUUUUGGAAGGAUAGUUAUUCAUAGGUCAACACAGAGGCCACAAGACUAUGGACCCGAUGAACUUCUUCUUUUUGUACCUGUAACUUCCUUAUUUUGAGGUAUAAAGGAUUGUCUGAAGAUGUCUGUAAUCAGAUCGAAUUCGCUAAUUGGUGAUUCGACCUCCAUAUACAUAUGCGCUUCAAUAAACGGCAAGCUGAUCUGAUUCCUGCGACUCUGUGGUUCUUUGACUGAAUUCUUCUAACAUAAUGUGACAGGCAGAGCUGUUACUGGGCUCUGGGUUAACUAUUUUGGGCUUGGAUGGCCACCGUAGUGGAGGAGCAGCGGCUCCCCCUCCCCUCUGUGUUGUGCUGAAAAUGCUAGUUAGCUCAGUAUAAAAGCAUGGAUAGCACGCUGCUGUGUCGAGCUUGUGUUUCCUUUGUUGCUGGGUCGUGUUACUGCAGGACUUGCUGCUGGGUGGUUUCCUAAGGGGUGGUCUGCCGGAAAACGGGUGUGAACGCGGUUAGCAGUUAGCCGUUAGCAUCAGCUGACUGAGCAUCGUCGCAUAAAACUGCAGCUUGGUGUGGAUGUGGAGCUGUAUUGGAUGUAAGGUAGGCAUUUGGGGUGUAGCAACGCUUAUCUAGGUGGGGUUUUAACCAUAUUAUGGCUGAUAUUUAUGGUAAAUGACUCUUUAGGUGUAUGCUCUGGCGUGCCGGAAAACGGGUGUGAACGCGGUUAGCGGUUAGCAUCAGCUGACUCUGAGCAUCGUCGCAUAAAACUGCAGCUUGGUGUGGAUGUGGAGCUGUAUUGGAUGCAAGGUAGGCAUUUGGGGUGCAGCAACGCUUAUCUAGGUGGGGUUUUAACCAUAUGGCUGAUAUUUAUGGUAAAUGCCUCUUAUUUAGGUGUAUGCUCU